AGAGUUUGAUCAUGGCUCAGAUUGAACGCUGGCGGCAGGCCUAACACAUGCAAGUCGAGCGGUAGCACAGAGAGCUUGCUCUCGGGUGACGAGCGGCGGACGGGUGAGUAAUGUCUGGGAAACUGCCUGAUGGAGGGGGAUAACUACUGGAAACGGUAGCUAAUACCGCAUAAUGUCGCAAGACCAAAGUGGGGGACCUUCGGGCCUCAUGCCAUCAGAUGUGCCCAGAUGGGAUUAGCUAGUAGGUGGGGUAACGGCUCACCUAGGCGACGAUCCCUAGCUGGUCUGAGAGGAUGACCAGCCACACUGGAACUGAGACACGGUCCAGACUCCUACGGGAGGCAGCAGUGGGGAAUAUUGCACAAUGGGCGCAAGCCUGAUGCAGCCAUGCCGCGUGUGUGAAGAAGGCCUUCGGGUUGUAAAGCACUUUCAGCGGGGAGGAAGGCGAUAAGGUUAAUAACCUUGUCGAUUGACGUUACCCGCAGAAGAAGCACCGGCUAACUCCGUGCCAGCAGCCGCGGUAAUACGGAGGGUGCAAGCGUUAAUCGGAAUUACUGGGCGUAAAGCGCACGCAGGCGGUCUGUCAAGUCGGAUGUGAAAUCCCCGGGCUUAACCUGGGAACUGCAUUCGAAACUGGCAGGCUAGAGUCUUGUAGAGGGGGGUAGAAUUCCAGGUGUAGCGGUGAAAUGCGUAGAGAUCUGGAGGAAUACCGGUGGCGAAGGCGGCCCCCUGGACAAAGACUGACGCUCAGGUGCGAAAGCGUGGGGAGCAAACAGGAUUAGAUACCCUGGUAGUCCACGCCGUAAACGAUGUCGAUUUGGAGGUUGUGCCCUUGAGGCGUGGCUUCCGGAGCUAACGCGUUAAAUCGACCGCCUGGGGAGUACGGCCGCAAGGUUAAAACUCAAAUGAAUUGACGGGGGCCCGCACAAGCGGUGGAGCAUGUGGUUUAAUUCGAUGCAACGCGAAGAACCUUACCUGGUCUUGACAUCCACAGAACUUUCCAGAGAUGGAUUGGUGCCUUCGGGAACUGUGAGACAGGUGCUGCAUGGCUGUCGUCAGCUCGUGUUGUGAAAUGUUGGGUUAAGUCCCGCAACGAGCGCAACCCUUAUCCUUUGUUGCCAGCGGUUCGGCCGGGAACUCAAAGGAGACUGCCAGUGAUAAACUGGAGGAAGGUGGGGAUGACGUCAAGUCAUCAUGGCCCUUACGACCAGGGCUACACACGUGCUACAAUGGCAUAUACAAAGAGAAGCGACCUCGCGAGAGCAAGCGGACCUCAUAAAGUAUGUCGUAGUCCGGAUUGGAGUCUGCAACUCGACUCCAUGAAGUCGGAAUCGCUAGUAAUCGUAGAUCAGAAUGCUACGGUGAAUACGUUCCCGGGCCUUGUACACACCGCCCGUCACACCAUGGGAGUGGGUUGCAAAAGAAGUAGGUAGCUUAACCUUCGGGAGGGCGCUUACCACUUUGUGAUUCAUGACUGGGGUGAAGUCGUAACAAGGUAACCGUAGGGGAACCUGCGGUUG
rnacentral:rRNA from 1 species